UCUUGGUCAUUUAGAGGAAGUAAAAUCGUAACAAGGUUUCCGUAGGUGAACCUGCGGAAGGAUCAUUAGUGAAUUUCAAAGUCGGCUCGUCGGAUUGUGCUGGUGGAGACACAUGUGCACGUCGCGAGUCGCAAACCCACACACCUGUGCAUCUAUGACUCUGAGUGCCGCUUGCAUGGCCCCUUGAUUUGGGCCUGGCGCUCGAGUACUUUCACACACUCCGAAUGUAAUGGAAUGUCUUGUUGUGCAUAACGUACAAACAGAAACAACUUCAACAACGGAUCUCUUGGCUCUCGCAUCGAUGAAGAACGCAGCGAAAGCGAUAAGUAAUGUGAAUUGCAGAAUUCAGUGAAUCAUCGAAUCUUUGACGCACCUUGCACCCUUUGGUAUUCCGAAGGGUACGCCCGUUUGAGUGUCUUGUAAUCUCACUACGAUCGACUUUUGUCUUUUCGUAUGUGGACUUGGUGUUGCCGUGAAUAAACAAACGGCUCGUCUGAAAUGCCUGAGUGUACCCGCUUUGCGGCGUAUUCGGUGUGAUAAAUCUUCACCGGAGUUGAUCCCUUAUGGGGUCGCGUCUGUAAUGGUGUGGCUCUAUGCUUCGAACCGUCUCCUUCGAGACAAAUCUCUGACAAUUUGACCUCAAAUCGGGUGGGACUACCCGUGAACUUAAGCAUAUCAAUAAGCGGAGGA
rnacentral:rRNA from 1 species